AUAGAGACUCAGAGCUGCAUAUCAAUAAGCGGAGGAAAAGAAACUAACAAGGAUUCCCUUAGUAACGGCGAGUGAAGCGGGAAGAGCUCAAAUUUGAAAUCUUCAAGGUUCUACCUUGACGAAUUGUAGUUUAUAGAAGUGUUUUCUGUUAGUGGAGUGGCAAAAGUUCUUUGGAAUAGGACAUCAUAGAGGGUGAGAAUCCCGUAUUUGGUCAUUCCUCCUAGCGUUGUGAUACACUUUCAACGAGUCGGAUUGUUUGGGAAUGCAGUCCAAAAUGGGUGGUAAAUUUCAUCUAAAGCUAAAUAUUGGCGAGAGACCGAUAGCGAACAAGUACCGUGAGGGAAAGAUGAAAAGAACUUUGAAAAGAGAGUUAAACAGUACGUGAAAUUGUCAAAAGGGAAGCGUUUGACACCAGUGUUGUUUUCUCGAAAAUCAAUUCAUGAAUGGCUUGAUUUGCUAGGUUAGUUAAUGACUUUAUCAGCUUACUGUCUAGUUUUCUUGUCUUUCGUGAAUGCACUUUUCGGUUAACAAGUCAACAUCAAUUUCUUUUGCUGUAAAAGGGUAAGAGGAAGGUGGCUUCAGCUUCGGUAGAAGUGUUUAUAGCCUUUUAGCCUCUGCAGUCGGAGAGAUUGAGGUCUGCAGCGUAGACUCUUCGGGGUUAGAUACAGUUUGUGCUAAGUUAUAGCUUUUCAUAGACAACUUGUUGACUAUGUUUAGUCUUGUAGCUUACUCGCUUACUGCUAUUUUACCUACGCUUAGGAUGUUGAUAGUCACAGCGUGUA
rnacentral:rRNA from 1 species